AAUUUUAGCUGAAAAAGUCAAGAACAUAAAAGUUGUAGAACUCAUCAAGACAUACAACUUUUAUUAUGAUCAUUUCUUCAUCCGACAAAGUGAUACUAAACAUUGUUCAUAAAAUUUACAUCUCUCUCUUAUAGUUUAUAAAACCAAAUGAGAGAUAUGUAAAUUUUGUUAGUAAUGUUACUAUCACUUUAUCCGAUGAAGAAAUGACCAAAAUAAAAUUUAUAGAUCUUGAUGAGUUAUACAACUUUGUUGUUAAUAACUUUUUCAGUUGAAAUC
rnacentral:pre_miRNA from 1 species